ensembl:snRNA LOC120103244 U7 small nuclear RNA
AGCUAACACUGUUCUUUUAAAUUUUUCUCUAGAGGGUUUUCUGAUUUUGGUCAGAAAACCCAA